rnacentral:rRNA from 1 species
UACGGAGGGUGCGAGCGUUGUCCGGAAUCACUGGGCGUAAAGGGCGCGUAGGCGGCCUGAUAAGUAGGGGGUGAAAUCCUGCGGCUUAACCGCAGGGCUGCCUUCUAAACUGUCAGGCUGGAGCACAGUAGAGGCAGGUGGAAUUCCUGGUGUAGCGGUGGAAUGCGCAGAUAUCAGGAGGAACACCGGUGGAGAAGGCGGGUCUCUGGGCUGUAACUGACGCUGAGGAGCGAAAGCGUGGGGAGCGAACAGG